rfam:Bacteroidales bacterium Barb6XT Barb6XT_contig_331, whole genome shotgun sequence.
ACAACGAAGAGUUUGAUCCUGGCUCAGGAUGAACGCUAGCGACAGGCUUAACACAUGCAAGUCGAGGGGCAGCACGGAGCAGCAAUGUUCUGGUGGCGACCGGCGCACGGGUGCGUAACGCGUAUGUAACCAACCUGCGGGUGCGGGACAGCCCGGCGAAAGCCGGAUUAAUACCGCAUGAAACAUUUUAUCUGCAUGGGAAGAAUG